AUCAAAGGUGAGCCAGUACAGGAUGGACCCGCGUCUGAUUAGCUAGUUGGUAAGGUAACGGCUUACCAAGGCGACGAUCAGUAGCCGACCUGAGAGGGUGAUCGGCCACAUUGGAACUGAGACACGGUCCAAACUCCUACGGGAGGCAGCAGUGGGGAAUAUUGCACAAUGGGCGAAAGCCUGAUGCAGCAACGCCGCGUGAGUGAUGAAGGCCGUCGGGUCGUAAAACUCUGUCCUCAAGGAAGAUAAUGACGGUACUUGAGGAGGAAGCCCCGGCUAACUACGUGCCAGCAGCCGCGGGAAUACGUAGGGGGCUAGCGUUAUCCGGAUUUACUGGGCGUAAAGGGUGCGUAGGCGGUCUUUCAAGUCAGGAGUGAAAGGCUACGGCUCAACCGUAGUAAGCUCUUGAAACUGGGAGACUUGAGUGCAGGAGAGGAGAGUGGAAUUCCUAGUGUAGCGGUGAAAUGCGUAGAUAUUAGGAGGAACACCAGUUGCGAAGGCGGCUCUCUGGACUGUAACUGACGCUGAGGCACGAAAGCGUGGGGAGCAAACAGGAUUAGAUACCCUGGUAGUCCACGCUGUAAACGAUGAGUACUAGGUGUCGGGGGUUACCCCC
rnacentral:rRNA from 1 species